rnacentral:rRNA from 1 species
GUGGGGAAUAUUGGACAAUGGGCGCAAGCCUGAUCCAGCCAUGCCGCGUGAGUGAUGAAGGCCCUAGGGUUGUAAAGCUCUUUCACCGGAGAAGAUAAUGACGGUAUCCGGAGAAGAAGCCCCGGCUAACUUCGUGCCAACAGCCGCGGUAAUACGAAGGGGGCUAGCGUUGUUCGGAAUUACUGGGCGUAAAGCGCACGUAGGCGGACAUUUAAGUCAGGGGUGAAAUCCCGGGGCUGAAGCCCGGAACUACCUUUGAUACUGGGUGUCUGGAGUAUGGAAGAGGUAAGUGGAAUUCCGAGUGUAGAGGUGAAAUUCGUAGAUAUUCGGAGGAACACCAGUGGCGCAGGCGGCUUACUGGUCCAUUACUGACGCUGAGGUGCGAAAGCGUGGGGAGCAAACAGGAUUAGAAACCCUGGUAGUCC